UUUAUUUGCAUCAUAGAUAGCCUAAAAUCCAACAGGUUACGUAUGGGCCUUGAUUUCUAGACAGAGAACCAACCCUGCAAUACGCUCGUCGUCUCUUCUAGCAAGUUCAACAAAGUUGCCGAAAUCCUAACAUCGACGUAUCAGUACAUCCCCAUUCCGGUGGGAAAGGCUGCUGCAGCACAUGCAGCGGAGUUGGCGGAAGUGGCUAGUGAACGGUUAAAGUGGGAAGACCCGGAGAAAAUUGCUGCGGCGUCUGUUGGGGAUGAAGCUCGGAACAAGCCGCUAUCUCUAUCUCACGAGACUCCCUGUUAGCGAGGCCCUGCAGUCGCAUAUGGCCCCAUUUUCGACCCCCCUUCUCAUCGCUCUUUCUCCCCGUCUUUUCAUGUACGAUCCGGUUCUUCGAGUCGAUGACGAUACUGCUUUUCCCUAGAUACUGACCCCUUCCGUCAUCCUCUCCGCCUUCUUUUUUCCGUACCCUAAUGGUGAACGUUCUUCAGAUGCUUGAGUAAGCACUUUUUCUCUUGGUUACAAUGGCAUUGUUUCAGCUUGGAGGUGGCAACCAGGGAAUAACAGUAAGAAGGAGGAAGGUCGAGAGGAGUAUGGGAUUUUGAGAAGACGAAAACCUCCCAGCAUUGAGUGGCAGAUUGACGCUGGUCUGAAGCAUGUAUGCGAGCAUGAUGUGCCUUGAAUAUCAUGAACAGUCUGAUGCAGAAUCAUUAAGUAUCCAUG
rnacentral:sRNA from 1 species